AUUGAAUUUAAAUUAAAAAAUUUAAAAAAUUAUUAUAGAUAUAUAAUUUAGUAAUUUAUUGAAUAAUUAAAUAAAUUUAUAAAUAAAGUAUUGAUAAAGACUUAAAUUAUUGUGAUAAAAGUAAAUUUAAUUAAUUUUGUACCUUUUGUAUCAGGGUUUAUUAAAUAAAUUAAUAGAAUUUAUAUUCUCGAAUUGAACUGAUCUAAUUAAUUAUAUUAAUUAAUGUAUAAUUAUUAUUAAUAAUAAUUAAUUUGAUAUUAUAUGUAUUUCAUAGUUUAAUAUAUCUAGUUAUUUUAUAAAUAAAUUUAAUUUAAAAUUAUUAUAAAUUUAAUAAUAAUUCUUAAUUAUUAAAUUUUUAAUUUUUUAAUAAUUUAAGGGAUAAACUUUAAAUUAAUAUUAAUAUUUAAAUAAAUAUAUUAUAUAUCUUAUGAUUAAAAUUAUUAAUAGAUUUAUAAAAUUUAAUAAUUAAUUAUUGGUAAAAUAAAUUUAUUAGAUAAUUUAGUUACUUAUAAAAUUAAUAAUUUAAAUAAAAUAAAUUAUUAAAUAAUGAUAAAAUUAGUAAAAUUUUUUAUAUUAUAUUUAUAAUUUUAAAUAUUAUUUUAAGGAAUUAGACAAUAAUGAAUAUUUACCUGUUUAAUAAAAACAUGGUUUAUUGAUAAUAAUUUUAAAUCUAAUCUGCUCAAUGAUUGAAUUAAAUAGCUGCAGUAUUUUAACUGUACUAAGGUAGCAUAAUCAUUUGUCUUAUUAAUUAAGUCUGGAAUGAAUGAUUGAAUAAAAUAUUAAUUGUCUCAAUUUAAUAAAUUGAAUUUAAUUUUAAGUUAAAAAUCUUAAAUAUAAUUAAGGGACGAGAAGACCCUAUAGAAUUUUAUAUAAAUUUUUUAAAUAAUUGAAAUAAUAAUUUAAAAAUUUUAAUAUUUUUUUGGGGUGAAAAUAAAAUUUAAUAAAUUUUUAUAAAAUUUAAUAUUAAUAUAUAAAUUUAAAAAUCUUAAAAUUUAAAUAAUAAAAUAAAUUACCUUAGGGAUAACAGCGUAAUUUCUUUAGAGAGUUCAUAUUGAUAGAGAAGAUUGCGACCUCGAUGUUGAAUUAAGAUAUAAAAUUAAUGAAGAAAUUAAUUUUUUUAGUCUGUUCGACUAUUUAAAUCUUACAUGAUUUGAGUUUAGAUCGGCGUGAGCCAGAUCGGAUUCUAUCUUUAAUUAUUUAAUAUUAAUUUGUACGAAAGGACUAUUAAUUUAUAAAAUUUAUUAAUAUUUGAAUAAUAAUAAAAUUUUUACUUUGGCAGAUUAGUGCAU
rnacentral:rRNA from 1 species